UACGGAGGGUGCGAGCGUUGUCCGGAAUCACUGGGCGUAAAGGGCGCGUAGGCGGCUUCUUAAGCGUGUGGUGAAAGCUCGGGGCUCAACCUCGAGUCGGCCAUGCGAACUGGGAGGCUUGAGCACUGUAGAGGCAGGCGGAAUUCCGGGUGUAGCGGUGGAAUGCGUAGAGAUCCGGAAGAACACCGGUGGCGAAGGCGGCCUGCUGGGCAGUAGCUGACGCUGAGGCGCGACAGCGUGGGGAGCAAACAGG
rnacentral:rRNA from 1 species